UGUCGAACGGGUGAGUAACACGUGGGUGAUCUGCCCUGCACUUCGGGAUAAGCUUGGGAAACUGGGUCUAAUACCGGAUAGGAGCCAUCUUUAGUGUGGUGGUUGGAAAGUUUUUUCGGUGUAGGAUGAGCUCGCGGCCUAUCAGCUUGUUGGUGGGGUAAUGGCCUACCAAGGCGGCGACGGGUAGCCGGCCUGAGAGGGUGUACGGCCACAUUGGGACUGAGAUACGGCCCAG
rnacentral:rRNA from 1 species